UGUGUGUGUGUGUGUGUGUGUGUGUGUGUGUGUGUGCACUCAUACCAACAGCUUCCAGUGCGUUGCUGAGUUCAAAGGGGCUCAUGGUGCCAGAAGAGUCUUCGUCAAACUGGAAGAAGAUGGACUGGGAAAAGAAAGCAUCAUAGUGGACUCACCUGGAGGAAUCCAGUGGAGCAGGUAAAGUCCUGAGUGCUGGAACACAAAGACAGCAACAAAUUGUCAACAAUGCAAAAAAAUACAAAAAUAAAAAAUGUAUAACAA